rnacentral:rRNA from 1 species
GGUAGUCCACGCCCUAAACGAUGUCAACUAGCUGUUGGGGCCUUCGGGCCUUGGUAGCGCAGCUAACGCGUGAAGUUGACCGCCUGGGGAGUACGGUCGCAAGAUUAAAACUCAAAGGAAUUGACGGGGACCCGCACAAGCGGUGGAUGAUGUGGAUUAAUUCGAUGCAACGCGAAAAACCUUACCUACCCUUGACAUGUCUGGAAUCCCAAAGAGAUUAGGGAGUGCUCGCAAGAGAACCGGAACACAGGUGCUGCAUGGCUGUCGUCAGCUCGUGUCGUGAGAUGUUGGGUUAAGUCCCGCAACGAGCGCAACCCUUGUCAUUAGUUGCUACGAAAGGGCACUCUAAUGAGACUGCCGGUGACAAACCGGAGGAAGGUGGGGAUGACGUCAAGUCCUCAUGGCCCUUAUGGGUAGGGCUUCACACGUCAUACAAUGGUCGGGACAGAGGGUCGCCAACCCGCGAGGGGGAGCCAAUCCCAGAAACCCGAUCGUAAUCCGGAUCGUAGUCUGCAACUCGACUACGUGAAGUCGGAAUCGCUAGUAAUCGCGGAUCAGAAUGUCGCGGUGAAUACGUUCCCGGGUCUUGUACACACCGCCCGUCACACCAUGGGAGUGGGUUCCACCAGAAGUAGUUAGCCUAACCGCAAGGAGGGCGAUUACCACGGUGGGGUUCAUGACUGGGGUGAAGUCGUAACAAGGUAGCCGUAUCGGAAGGUGC